AGCAGCCGCGGUAAUUCCAGCUCCAAUAGCGUAUAUUAAAGUUGUUGCAGUUAAAAAGCUCGUAGUUGAAUUUCGGGGUUAGUAAGUUGGUCAUGCCUUCGGUAUGUACUGGCUUUACUGAUUCCUCCUUCUUGACGGACCGUGAUGUCAUUAAUUUGGUGUUGCGGGAAAUCAGGACUGUUACUUUGAAAAAAUUAGAGUGUUUAAAGCAGGCUAACGCUUGAAUACAUUAGCAUGGAAUAAUGAAAUAGGACGUUAAUCCUAUUUUGUUGGUUUCUAGGAUCGACGUAAUGAUUAAUAGGGAUAGUUGGGGGCAUUAGUAUUCAAUUGUCAGAGGUGAAAUUCUUGGAUUUAUUGAAGACUAACUACUGCGAAAGCAUUUGCCAAGGAUGUUUCAUUAAUCAAGAACGAAAGUUAGGGGAUCGAAGACGAUCAGAUACCGUCGUAGUCUUAACCAUAAACCUAUGCCGACUAGGGAUCGGAUGAUGUUAAUCUUAAUGACUCAUUCGGCGCUUACGGG
rnacentral:rRNA from 1 species